AUGCAAGUCGAACGGUAACAGAAAGUAGCUUGCUACUUUGCUGACGAGCGGCGGACGGGUGAGUAAUGCUUGGGAACAUGCCUUGAGGUGGGGGACAACAGUUGGAAACGACUGCUAAUACCGCAUAAUGUCUACGGACCAAAGGGGGCUUCGGCUCUCGCCUUUAGAUUGGCCCAAGUGGGAUUAGCUAGUUGGUGAGGUAAUGGCUCACCAAGGCAACGAUCCCUAGCUGGUUUGAGAGGAUGAUCAGCCACACUGGAACUGAGACACGGUCCAGACUCCUACGGGAGGCAGCAGUGGGGAAUAUUGCACAAUGGGCGAAAGCCUGAUGCAGCCAUGCCGCGUGUGUGAAGAAGGCCUUCGGGUUGUAAAGCACUUUCAGUCAGGAGGAAAGGGUGUGAGUUAAUACCUCACAUCUGUGACGUUACUGACAGAAGAAGCACCGGCUAACUCCGUGCCAGCAGCCGCGGUAAUACGGAGGGUGCGAGCGUUAAUCGGAAUUACUGGGCGUAAAGCGUACGCAGGCGGUUUGUUAAGCGAGAUGUGAAAGCCCCGGGCUCAACCUGGGAACUGCAUUUCGAACUGCCAACUAGAGUGUGAUAGAGGUGGUAAAAUUCAGGUGUAGCGGUGAAUGCGUAAAAUCUGAAGGAAACCGAUGGCAAAGCAGCCCCUGG
rnacentral:rRNA from 1 species